GUCUUUUUGAAUUUAAUUUAAAGUCUAAUCUGCCCACUGAUUAUAAAAUUAAAGGGCUGCAGUAUAUUGACUGUACAAAGGUAGCAUAAUAAUUAGUCUUUUAAUUGAAGACUUGUAUGAAAGAUUUGAUGAGAUAUAAACUGUCUCUUUUUUAUAAUUGGAAUUUAAUUUUCCAGUAAAAAAGCUGAAAUUAAUUUAAAAGACGAGAAGACCCUAUAGAGUUUUAUAAUUUAUUUAAUUAUAGAUUUAUAUUUAAAUUUAAAGUUAAUUAAUUUAAUUAUUUUAUUGGGGUGAUAGAAAAAUUAAAUUAACUUUUUUUAAAUAUUAAACAUUAAUUGAUGAUUUUAUGAUCCAUAAUUUAUGAUUAUAAGAAAAAAUUACCUUAGGGAUAACAGCGUAAUUUUUUUUUUUAGUUCUUAUAAGAAAAAGAGUUUGCGACCUCGAUGUUGGAUUAAGAUAAAAUUUAAAUGUAGAAGUUUAAAAUUUUGAUCUGUUCGAUCAUUAAAAUCUUACA
rnacentral:rRNA from 1 species